UACGGAACGACUCUCGGCAACGGAUAUCUCGGCUCUCGAAUCGAUGAAGAACGUAGCGAAAUGCGAUACUUGGUGUGAAUUGCAGAAUCCCGUGAACCAUCGAGUCUUUGAACGCAAGUUGCGCCCGAAGCCUUCUGGUCGAGGGCACGUCUGCCUGGGUGUCACGCAUCGUCGCAC
rnacentral:rRNA from 1 species